rnacentral:SRP_RNA from 2 species
GCCAGGUGUGGUGGCUCACGCCUGUAAUCCCAGCACUUUGGGAGGCUGAGGCGGGUGGAUCACUUGAGGUCAGGAGUUCGAGACCAGCCUGGCCAACAUGGUGAAACCCCGUCUCUA